UUGGAAUAAGGACGAUAAAUUAAAGUAAUAACUUGAUACUGUUCCAGAAACAGGUAAAGACCAAGAAACAAAGAAAGUCCUAUAUCAAUGAACAAUAAUUCAGAUUAAAAUACAAAGAAGAAAAAACGCAGCAAAAGAAGAAGUAAAAACCUUAGAAAUGUGAUUUGAUGGAAUUCGGCUCAUACGGGAUCCGCUACUUGGAGAGUUUACAUGUUUGUGUGAGACUCUCCUUUCACUUGUGAGAUCCCGGGGUGGCUACCUUGUUCGUCGAGGCAGAGGAGUCUCCGACGAUGGCACAGGGACAGUGGCGAGUCGGGGAGGCAAGGUUGAACGACUGUGAAUUAAAGCAAUCACAUAGACUUAAUUAACAAAAUCUAAACCAAAAAUCUGAAAAAAUAUAAAUAAAAAGGUGAAUCGCAGACAAACAGCCAUAGAAGAAGAAGAAGAAGAAGCUUACCGCCACGGCGAAUUGUAAAAACACGAUUGUGGCGUUAAUAAUUCAAGGUAAUGAAUUUAUAGAUAAAAAUCUAGGGUUUAAGUUUCCUUUGUUAAAAUUCUUUCCAAAAUUUUUUCUUUCUAAGCAAAAGAUCAGAACUUUACAAAACGAUGGGUUUCUUCCUAAUAUAAUUCUUACCAUGUAUUGCAUGAAAGAGAGGGAGGGCCGACGAUUUCGCCGACCCCAGGAAAAUGGUGGAGGCGGGCGAUUGAGUGGAUGCAACAGAAUUGUUAGUGAACUAAUAAAUUUAUUACUAAAAAAUCUAGGUUUAAAUUUUUAUUGUUAAACAUUUACCUUGUAUAUACUCUUAAUCUUUUCCAAAAAAAUUCUUUCUAAAGUAGAGAAAUCAUUCUAUAUUUACUAUUGUAAUCUUUCCUAAUAGAAAACUUACCAUGGAGGAGAAAAACUUACCAUGGGUAGAUCGAUGUAGGGCCGACGCCGCGAAUCGCGGUGGGGGAGGGAGAAAGGGAGGUGGCAGAUCGCGGCGGAGGUCAGCGGGGCGAAUCGUGGUGGGGGAAGUGCAGUUUUGAGCUUUC
rnacentral:lncRNA from 1 species